rnacentral:rRNA from 1 species
GAUCCUGGCUCAGGAUGAACGCUGGCGGCGUGCCUAAUACAUGCAAGUCGAACGGGGAGAUUGUAGCAAUACGGUCUCCUAGUGGCGAACGGGUUAGUAACGCGUUGGUGACCUACCCCGAAGUGUGGGAUAACAGUUCGAAAGGGCUGCUAAUACCGCAUGUGGUUGGGAAGAUUAGAAGCUUUCCACGAAAAGAGCAAUCUGCUUCGGGAGGGGCCUGCGACCCAUCAGCUAGUUGGUAGGGUAAAAGCCUACCAAGGCGACGACGGGUAGGGGACCUGAGAGGGUGACCCCCCACACUGGCACUGAAACACGGGCCAGACACCUACGGGUGGCAGCAGUAGGGAAUAUUGCACAAUGGGCGCAAGCCUGAUGCAGCAACGCCGCGUGCGCGAUGAAGGCCUUCGGGUCGUAAAGCGCUUUUCUGGAGGAAGAGCAAGGACGGUACUCCAGGAAGAAGGAUCGGCUAACUACGUGCCAGCAGCCGCGGUAACACGUAGGAUCCGAGCGUUAUCCGAAUUUACUGGGCGUAAAGCGCGUGCAGGCGGUUUGGUAAGUUGGACGUGAAAUCUCCCGGCUCAACUGGGAGGGGUCGUUCAAGACUGCCAGACUAGAGGGCAGUAGAGGGAGGUGGAAUUCCCGGUGUAGUGGUGAGAUGCUUAGAUAUCGGGAGGAACACCAGUGGCGAAAGCGGCCUCCUGGGCUGCACCUGACGCUCAGACGCGAAAGCUAGGGGAGCGAACGGGAUUAGAUACCCCGGUAGUCCUAGCUGUAAACGAUGUGGACUUGGCGUCGGUGGGUUCAAAUCCGCCGGUGCCGUAGCUAACGCGCUAAGUCCACCGCCUGGGGACUACGGCCGCAAGGUUAAAACUCAAAGGAAUUGGCGGGGGCCCGCACAAGCAGCGGAGCGUGUGGUUUAAUUCGAUGCUACACGAAGAACCUUACCCGGGUUUGACAUGCAGGUGGUAGGGAACUGAAAAGGGACCGACCCUUCGGGGAGCCUGCACAGGUGCUGCAUGGCUGUCGUCAGCUCGUGUCGUGAGAUGUCCGGUUAAGUCCGGUAACGAGCGCAACCCCUGCUGGAUGUUACAUGUGUCAUCCAGGACUGCCGGUUUAGUGCCGGAGGAAGGCGGGGAUGACGUCAAGUCAGCAUGGCCUUUAUAUCCGGGGCUACACACACGCUACAAUGGCCAGUACAAUGGGUCGCAAAGCCGCAAGGUGGAGCCAAUCCCCAAAGCUGGCCUCAGUUCAGAUUGCAGGCUGCAACUCGCCUGCAUGAAGUCGGAGUUGCUAGUAACCGCGCGUCAGCUAUAGUGCGGUGAAUACGUUCCCGGGCCUUGCACACACCGCCCGUCACGUCAUGGGAGCCGGCAACACCUGAAGCCGGUAUCCUAACCGUAAGGAAGGAGCCGUCGAAGGUGGGGCUGGUGACUGGGACGAAGUCGUAACAAGGUA